UCUGGGCCCUGUUCUGCCAGGCGCUGAAGAGACCCCAGGCUACAAAGUAACGUCCACGUUUGUUCCAGAUUAUCCCAUCCUCCCAGGGGGAAGGAAAUGGCUGCAAUGGAGCUGGCUCAGCUACUUAGGUUGGUUAAAGUUCAUCAUGGAGGAGCCUUGGUUCACUUAGCCCUAGAGCAG